AAGGAACUCUCAUCAAUACUUAGAAAAAUGGAAAGGGUAUAAAUUAGAAUCAUUGUGUGCAGAAUUUAACAUUAGUACUACAGAUAAUGUUCCACCCACUGAUUAUGAAAUAGAUUAUGAUGCAGACUACGAAUGUUUCGUUAGUGGAGGUUUUGAGGACAAUGAAGGAAUUAAUGUAGGAAACACCACUGUAAAAUGUAAUGUAACCUGGGUAUUAUCUUGGUUUAAGCAUGCAAAUGUAACACCAGUGUUUGCUACAAAGCCUGUUUGGUUUGAAAACCCAGAUUUUAUAGAAGAGGACUGUAAAAAUAUAACUAUGAAGAUUCCCAAACUUUUCUUUUUAGGAGAUCAAACGUAUCCAGUGGCAGACAGUUACUGGAUGUGUGGUGAUGACAUGCUACUGAACACCUUACCACUUAAGUGGGUAGGGCUCUGUGCAUUAGUACGAAUGAAGGAGUUUAUUUAAAUCUUAUUGGUCAACCAAGAGGAAUUCCAGAUGAAUUUAAAGCACAGCAUGAAAUUAAAGCAGGUUUUGAGUCUAUUUUACCUCA